rnacentral:rRNA from 1 species
GGUGGUUCGCCGCCCCCGACGUCGCGAGAAGUCCAUUGAACCUUAUCAUUUAGAGGAAGGAGAAGUCGUAACAAGGUUUCCGUAGGUGAACCUGCGGAAGGAUCAUUGUCGUGACCCUACCAAAACAGACCGUGAACGCGUCAUCUUGCCUGCCAGCGGUGGCCCUGCCGUCGCUUGGCCAAAGUCCUCGAUAACCUCCUCUUCUCGGAGCGGGGGCUCGGGGUAAAAGAACCCACGGCGCCGAAGGCGUCAAGGAACACUGUGCCUAACCCGGGGAAGCGGCUUGCUUGCUAGCUGCCCCUCGUGUUGCAAAGCUAUUUAAUCCACACGACUCUCGGCAACGGAUAUCUCGGCUCUCGCAUCGAUGAAGAACGUAGCGAAAUGCGAUACCUGGUGUGAAUUGCAGAAUCCCGCGAACCAUCGAGUCUUUGAACGCAAGUUGCGCCCGAGGCCACUUGGCCGAGGGCACGCCUGCCUGGGCGUCACGCCAAACACGCUCCCACCUCUCAUCGGGGGGUGGGAUGCGGCAUGUGGCUCCCCGUCUCGCAAGGGGCGGUGGGCCGAAGAUGCGGCUGCCGGCGUAUCGUGCCGGACACAGCGCGUGGUGGGCGAACUCGUUUUACUUACCGCAGUGCAUCCGGCCCGUAGCCGACAUGAUGGCCUUAAGGACCCAAUGAAUGGAGCGCAUGACGCUCUGACCGCGACCCCAGGUCAGGCGGGACUACCCGCUGAAUUUAAGCAUAUAAAUAAG